AGGGGUGUCCGUUAAUGGUAAACGGCAGCUCUCCAAAAGCUGUCCUGUCGGUUCGAAUCCGACCACCCCUGCCA
rnacentral:tRNA from 1 species